CUAUCUCUAACAUUCAUUCACUCUCUCUCUCCACUGUCUCUCUCUCUCUCUAAUUCAACACUCUCUCUCUGCGAUCAAUUCUGUGAAUUUGUGUUGUUUGCGGUUACAAGAAUGUUGAUACCACUUUCAAUUGUAGAUGAUGUUGCUAUCGUUGAUUUAGGUCAACAACAUCACCGCCACAACAUGUUACCUGUGUAUGUUCUCUUUGAUUCUCGUACCAUGUCUCACAACCACCACCCAACAAGAACACCACCUGGGUCUGUGAUCGAUCAACCUCUUCUCUUUGAUUCUCGUAUCACCAACAAUGUUCCAACAAGAUUAAUGUCUCACAACCACAACAGUGUUUCAUCAAGAUUAACUUCACCAACAGUGUCUGUGGUAGAUGAAACUGUUCUCUAUGACUUUCCUAUCGGCAAUGUUCCAAGAAGAUCAAGGAUUCAUCAUCAAACGGGUCAUCCCCACCACAACCACCACCACCACCACAAUGGUACUCGAGCUUCUCCGGCGGUGAUGGGUGUUCAAAAUACUAGAGCUUCUGGUGCUCAAGAUACUUGUCAACAUGUCACAACAUCAACAACAGAUGCUCAAUCCAUUUGUUGCAUUUGUCUUGUUAACUUGUCUAAUGGUUCUUCCAUGCCAAUUCGGCUGCGCUGCUCUCAUGAUUUUCAUACCGACUGCAUUCAAAAAUGGAUCAACAUUAAGAAAACUUGUCCACUUUGUCGCGCCAAUGUUUAAUUUUCAUAUAUAGAGUGUUGUUGAUUUAUAAAAAUGUUUCCUUUCUUUUGUUAUUUUCCAUGUUUUGGUUUGAUGAUUUUCCAUGUUUAGGUUUGAUUCCCUUGGAUUACCGGACAUUCCUUCAAGCCCUCUGAGGUAAGUUUUUGUUGGGUUGCUGUUACCUAUGAUACAUCAUGUGUGUUGGAGUUUUGUUUGUUAGUAUAGGUUCUACAUAAAACAUAUAUGUGCUCUGUCUUUGUGUGCAAACCUGUUUUUUUGUCUAUCUUUUCUUUUAUUCUUUGUGUCAAUAUGUGUUACACCGUAUAUGUAUGUGUUGUUUGUGAAUAUUUAGAACUAUGCUUUUGUCCUUGCAAAUGUCCAGUUUUAUAGUUGUGAACAGAUGCUGAAUAACGGUAGAUAUUCAUGUUAAAAUAUUAGUCUAUUAGGCUUUGUUUCGUUUUGUCUCUAUCAAUUGUUAUAUGCUUGUUUGGUUGGAUGGAUUAUGGAAUUAACAACUAUUUUGUGACAAUGGAGAAGGUGUGGGAUCUUAAUAUGGAUUAUAGCUUAUGGGUCACGUAAGCAUGCUUUUAUGAUUCUUACUAGUUAUGAUUCUGUGGUAAAUAUGAGAAGCAAUGAAGAUAAGAAAAGGUUGAAGAUUACAUUGUCUGGAUUUGUACUCAAGGUGACGAGUAUGUUAGGUUGUAUGGCAUUCAGAUGGAACUCAAAGAUAUUCAGAGAUGCAACUUGUUUGAAAUAAAAAGUUAAAAGUUUGUCAUUUCCCAACUAAUGGUUUUUUGUUUUCUGGUAAUGUUGCAAUGUUCAAGAUUAUUUAGUAUAAAUAAUGAGUAACUACUAAUUUUGAGCAAACAUUUCAUAUCGUUCAAUUCAAGUUGGUAGAAGUGAACUGCUUCAUAGAUCAACUCAAGUCUGGCCAACCAAGGUAUGCAACACAGAUGAUUUAAUUUCAUUUAUCUUUGCUUUUUGUUUCUUAUGAUUUCAUUUCAUAUUUGUUUUAUGUACCAGCUAUACUUCUUCACCCUCUUCAAGGGUUCAGGAUGGUUCUAAAUACCUUAAGUUAAAAAUUUGUAUUGUUUGUUGUGCAUGAAUAGAAGAAUCAUUGAGUCUAAGUUCUGAAAAUGGAGAAGAAUUAGUCAUGGUGUAACGGUUGUGAUCUAUCUCAAGUCAUAUAUGUACUAUUUACUUCUUGUUUUCUAUAUUUUUUUUCUUCUUAUAGUUUUAACAUCUCUUAAUUGUAUGUUUCUCGGUUGUACAGUCAUUAUAAUUGUUAUAAUGCUAAUUGCUAAUGCCUUGAAGCUUUUGUGACCUUUUCUCAUCAGCAACAGAUUUUGAAACACUCUCCAUGUCCUUGCAUCUUCUUGCAACAUACUCAAAUUCUACUCUCGUUUGGGUGACAGAUCUAAGUUUUCCCUUCCUGCUGGUCUUGAGCCUUUGUCUAAUAAACUAAGGUACCUACAUUGUAGUGCAUAUCCUUUGAAGUUUCUACCGUCAGCUCUUUCUCCUGAGAAACUUGUUGAGCCUUGCAUGCCAAACAGCCGUGUUCAAAGAUUAUGGGACGUAGUGUAGGUUUGUGGCUUGAAAUAUAUGAAACUAAUUUAUACAUUGUAUUAUAUGUGAUCAAAGUUUUUUUGGUUUGUUACAUGAUCUAAUUAAUUUAAAGAAAAUGGACCUUAGCUGUUGUGAGCACUUGAUAGAGCUUCCUGAUUUCUCCAUGGUAUCACAUCUCCAAUACAUUCACCUCUCUAGACGUGUAAGGUUGUGUCAUGUUCAUACAUCUACUUAGCACUCCAAAAUCUUGUCAAUUUAAACCGGGUUUGGUGCAACAAGCUCAAGAGUCUUAUAAGCAAUUCCCCUUCAAACUAUGCUAAUUCUCGAGCUCUAUGGCUGCUCAAGUCUCAAGGAAUUUUCUGUGAUAUCUACAAAAAUGACAGUUUGAUUUAAGAUGAUGUAUUGCUAUCAAUGAAUUGCGGCAGCCAUAAGUUGAGUACCUUGGAAGUCUUAUGGACUUGGAGUUGAGUAGCUAUGAUAGGCACCUUAGAUAUCUUCCAAAUGAGUUCUCAUGCUUGAAAUCUCUUGGCCAUCUGGUACUUUCUGAUUGCAUGCUACUUGACGACAUGUCAAAUCUACAUCUUUUAUUUGAUGGCCGGCGUUCGUUUGGAUACUUUUGUCUGGACAACAGUUGUAAUCUGACUGAACUACCUCACAACAUUAGUCUGUUAACAUUAUUAAAUUAUUUAUCACUCAGCGGAAUCAACGUGAAGAACAUUCCUAUAAGCAUCAAGCAUCUUUCACAGCUAGAAUCUCUUGGCUUGUGCAAAUGCGUGAGCAUUUAGUCUCUACCAGAACUCUCACCAUCUAUUCAAGUGUUGGAUGUCACCAACUACACAUCCUUGGAGACCGUCGUCAUCUUCGUGUUAUCAAUGAACUACUAGAAGAGCACAAGUCAUACAAUUUGGAGACCAGCAUCCUGAUGGUACAUAUGAUUCAUUCCCUUUGAUGGUUUCACCUUUUUCCCCUGCUUGAAUGAAUUCCAUGAAACGCAUCACAGUCCAUGAACAAAAUGAAGGGUUUCAAUUUCAACUAUAAUCAGAGCUCGCAAUUCUCUUCGGUAUGUUGUUCGAGUUAGGGUAUGCGGUUUUGAAAAAAUUGCAAAGGUUUACCACUCGCCAUUAAAGUGCCUGCAACAUCAGUCAGAAAUAGGCCUUAUGGAUUGUGUGGCGAAAGAUAGGGCUCAUGUCUUAAUAGCAAGGAAAAAUGCAACUGAUGCAGACAAUUACAACCAUAAUAUUGUCCUUCAUGAUCCUGUUAAUAAAUUGGAAUUUACCAAAGAACCAAUUGAGCAGAGAAGAAGAAUGAUCAUUGACAUGAAUCAAGAUUUCCCAAUAUGAAGGAAGAUAGAGGUAGGAGAAGAAAUGAUGCUUCUCCAAAGAGAAAUGCACAUCAACAAGGAUAUAUAUCCACAUGAUUUGACGAAGCAGAGACCAUUGUAGAUAUCUGCAUUGCAUCCGGAAGACAAAGGUAGAGAAAUCUAAAGUGAGUAGCAUUGUUCUAUGGACGGCAACGACAGGGGAACGACUUUUCAAUAACUAUAGUGAAGGAGGCAAUUUUCGCUAAGAAAACUACAAUUAAAUGUAUUGAGCUAGUCAAGAUAGAGGGAUUUUAGUUGUGUUAGUAGCUUUUGACUAUUUGUGUACAGCAAAAUGUGUCUUUUCUCAGUUUUUGUUUUUAUUCAAGUUAACAUAACAUGUUUGUGCAAUUGUUCAAUCAAAGUUUCUAAUGCAGUUGGAAAAUGAAAGGUCAUUCUAAUUCUGAUUCAUUAAUGUAAUAAAGUGAAUAAGGCACAUAAAGAUACAACAUUUAUCAUUAAUUAAUGUAAUUGUUAACAUUA